rnacentral:lncRNA from 1 species
GGAGCUUUCACGUUAUAAUAAAUGUCAUUUGCUGCAUCCCCAUAUUGGUGUCUGCGUUGCAAUGGCCCUAGCGAGGGUAGAUUGCUAGCCCCCGGCGGAAAUCGGUUCAUUAAUGGUGACAUCACUGGUAUGCUGGAAACAGGUGGAGAGCUACACUAAUUCUUUAUGAAUUACAUAUUCUCAAAAUGCCUCAGGAGGCUCAGUACUGGUCCUACAUCUGUAGCAAUGCUCACGUGGAGCAGAGGAGUUUGGCUUUCGAAUUCAGUGUUCAUAUUACCAGGCCUAGGACUCUGGAACCCCCUGCAUGGGGAGAGGUCUUUUUCUUCUGAACCUUGGGGAAGAGAGAGGCCAGCAUCACUGCUACCAGGAGAGUUCAAGAGUCUUUUUCAUUAUACCAUCUUCUUAAUUUGUAAACAGACAAUAACACCAUCUAACGGAGGGCUAAAGACCAAGCCAUACAAGCACACUGUGUACAAAGCUGUCAUGUCUCCAUGGGUGAAGAAAGAACGUUUAUUCACUACAUUUCGUUUAGGAAUUUCCCUCAUCUACUGUAUCUUUCUAAAAGACUCAUAUUCAAGCUGAAAGGUACUCUGUUCUUCUGGAGUAACUUUUUUUACAGUAUCUACCAUUAAAGCUCUGCUUUAUUUGAAACACUGCAACAUUAACUGGAAAGAGGAACAGAAUAGGAAUCAUCAUGGUAAACUGCCUAGAGUAAAAUCCAGUUCCUCCCUAGCAUAUUAAACAUGGGAUUCUUGUACACAGUACAGAACUGAGACAGUUUAAGCAAUAGAGUCUGAAAGUUCAAAUACUGAAACAUGUUUCUGGCUGCGUAUAAGGUAUCUUUGAGCAGACAUUUACGUAUCUGUCAAGUUUUACCAGCAGAAAUCUCUCUGCAGCUUUCUCGCUUUUAGCAGAAUAACACUGCAAGAAUUACUAUUACCUAACAAAAGUCCUUCUUACAAAGCAAACCAUAAAUGCUGCAGGUUUAAACCAGUGAGACGUUUAGCAUACAAAUAAUGCAGAAAUGUCGAUUUGUAUGUGUCAACACACAAUCACAGGCAAAGUGUUGAUGUAAAUGCUUGUCAUCUAGAACAUUGAAUUUCAGUGCAAGUGUGGCAGUGAGACUGCUGGACCCCCAACACUGACAGGAUAUGGCAACUGGGGAGAGGAUACUCAUCUCAAACUUACAGCACCAAGCCCUUCACUAUUUUUCCUACGUGUAUUAACCUUACGUAGAUUAGAAGGAAACACGGCUCCACAACCUUCUGAUGGUUCCCUUCAGAAAAACAAACUAACAACAAAUGAAGUAAGAGACUGAAGAAACAGCAGUACUGGUACUAAGCACUGGAAUGUACUGGUCAGCUUGAAUAUUCUGAAGAUCAUGUAGCAUUUCAUCUUAACAAUAGCCUUGACUUAAUCAGAAACUACGUUUUGUGAUUAGGGUACUCAUACAUUUUCUUUAUAUUCAGAAUCCAACUGUUCUAAAGCUCUGAAAAACAGAACAGAAAUAAAAACAAGGUUUUAAACCA